GGCCCAAUGGUCUAGACAUAUGAUAUAUGCUUCAGGUCUUUCCGGGAUUUCGUAAUCCUGCUUACGUGUGUGGUCCCAGGUUCAAUUCCCGGUUGGGCCC